rnacentral:rRNA from 1 species
UCUUGGUCAUUUAGAGGAAGUAAAAGUCGUAACAAGGUUUCCGUAGGUGAACCUGCGGAAGGAUCAUUAUUGAAAAGUUUUGGAGGUACUGUUGCUAGCCUUUAACAAGGCAUGUGCACGUAUUUCUAAUCUAUUCAUCCACCUGUGCACUUUUUGUAGGAGUUCUUUUAGAUUGGCUUAUAGGUUUAACGACCUUGUAGUUGAUUUGAAAGGCUUCUAUGUUUUACAAACUAGUUAGGCAUGUUUUAGAAUGUUCUUUUAUUGGGACUUAAUUGACCCUUUAAAACUUUAUACAACUUUCAGCAACGGAUCUCUUGGCUCUCCCAUCGAUGAAGAACGCAGCGAAAUGCGAUAAGUAAUGUGAAUUGCAGAAUUCAGUGAAUCAUCGAAUCUUUGAACGCACCUUGCGCCCUCUGGUAUUCCGGAGGGCAUGCCUGUUUGAGUGUCAUUAAAUUCUCAACUUCAAUAGUUUGUAAUGAACUUGUUGAGGCUUGGAUGUGGAGGCUUGCUGGCGUCUGUCCGGCUCCUCUUAAAUGCAUUAGUGGAACCCGUUUGUUGGACCCAUCCUUGGUGUGAUAAUUAUCUACGCUUAGGUUUGUGUUCAAUGGCUCUAUUGGCUUUUCUUCAGAAUGCCUCAGUUGUAUUCUGGUUUGGGUUUUUGCCUUAAUUUGCUUAACCUGGCUUAUUAGAGUAGGGACUCUCUGCUUUCUAACUGUCUGUGUAUACGGACAAUAACAUUGACUAUUUGACCUCAAAUCAGGUAGGACUACCCGCUGAACUUAAGCAUAUCAAUAAGCGGAGGA